AAUUAUGAGUACCUUCUCCAUAAAGCUUGGGCAACAUCCAUUGUAGAGAUUCAAGAAGACAUAAAGGCUGCUAUUAAUCCAGAACGACCAAUGCUUGAUUUGAAUCUGCUGUCUGAAACUCUCCAGCUGUCUACCAAAGUUCUGCUGAGAGAUACCUGUCAACUGGCUUCUCAGCUGAAAGGACGCCUCCACCAGAUAGAGGUUUUAGAUAAGCCCGUGGCUCCUGGUGAUCCCAAAAAAUACCCUUUACUGCCAUCACUGCUAUCCCAGUGCCAACAGUCCUCAGUAGCCACAUUUGUUCCUUCCUUUACCUGUCUUCUGCCACCUGGAGGA